GAGUUUACCAGGGAAAUCGGAAUAAUUAGGAACAAAUACGAAUAGAAAAGAAUAAAAAAUUGCCUUUUAAGCAAUGGGUCUGGAGUUCGAAUCUCCAGCGGGUCACCA
rnacentral:tRNA from 1 species